rnacentral:tRNA from 1 species
AUUAAUAUAGGUUAGAAAAACUGUUGAAUUUAUUAUUCAAAGAGGCUUGUGUGCUAUUAGUA